UUUGCUGUCGCUAGGGUGGGUCAGAAGUGGUGGUCCGAUAUCUGAAAGCCUGAUUUCACUAUCUGGGUUUUUGCGCACAAUUUGGUCCCCCUCACUUUUAAAAUAUCUCCUGCGCACCUGUUUUGGACAGACUCGCAAUAGAUGUAGUAGUAAAUGGAUAGUGAAUGACUACACACCAGCAUGGACAGAGUGAAAGAGUGAGGGGAAAGAGAGCAAGAUUCACAAACACCCACAAAUAUUAUGCAAGCCUUUGUUUCCACAGCACAAGAGCCUGGACAGAGGGUAAAAGUAAGCGAAUCACAUCAUUAGGCCGCCAAGGCCAAAAAUAUCUCCACUUAGGUGGGUGGGGGUGGGGACAUACCAUUCACCAGUGCUAUGGUCGUCCUCAUUAACUGUUCAUCAUUAAUAUUGUCUUUCUGUGCAAUCUCAUGCUAUUGAUUAUCCUUUGCUUGUUCAAAUUAUCUUAAAUGUAUGUCUCCUUUUUCUUUCCGCAGUCCAUAUAUCCAGGAUUAAAGUCUUUAAAUUCACUGUGCGCAGUCUU